GGAAAGUCGUAACGGGUAGCCGUAAGUCUUAAUAGGUACCCGUAGAGUUUGAUCUUGGUCCCUGAAAUCCUUACCGGGGGGGUGAGUAACUCUUGGGUAACCUGCCUGUAAGACUGGGAUAACUCCGGGAAACCGGGGCUAAUACCGGAUAACACCUACCCCCGCAUGGGGGAAGGUUGAAAGGUGGCUUCGGCUAUCACUUACAGAUGGACCCGCGGCGCAUUAGCUAGUUGGUGAGGUAAUGGCUCACCAAGGCGACGAUGCGUAGCCGACCUGAGAGGGUGAUCGGCCACACUGGGACUGAAACACGGCCCAAACUCCUACGGGAGGCAGCAGUAGGGAAUCUUCCGCAAUGGACGAAAGUCUGACGGAGCAACGCCGCGUGAGUGAAGAAGGUUUUCGGAUCGUAAAACUCUGUUGUUAGGGAAGAACAAGUGCCGUUCGAAUAGGGCGGCACCUUGACGGUACCUAACCAGAAAGCCACGGCUAACUACGUGCCAGCAGCCGCGGUAAUACGUAGUGGCAGGCGUUGUCCGGAAUUAUUGGGCGUAAGCGCGCGCAGUGGUUUCUUAAGUCUGAUGUGAAAGCCCCCGCUCACCGUGGAGGGUCUUGGAAACUGGGGAACUUGA
rnacentral:rRNA from 1 species